rnacentral:rRNA from 1 species
AGUGAACGCUGGCGGUAGGCCUAACACAUGCAAGUCGAACGGCAGCACAGUAAGAGCUUGCUCUUACGGGUGGCGAGUGGCGGACGGGUGAGGAAUACAUCGGAAUCUACUUUUUCGUGGGGGAUAACGUAGGGAAACUUACGCUAAUACCGCAUACGACCUACGGGUGAAAGCAGGGGAUCUUCGGACCUUUCGCGAUUGAAUGAGCCGAUGUCGGAUUAGCUAGUUGGCGGGGUAAAGGCCCACCAAGGCGACGAUCCGUAUCUGGUCUGAGAGGAUGAUCAGCCACACUGGAACUGAGACACGGUCCAGACUCCUACGGGAGGAAGCAGUGGGGAAUAUUGGACAAUGGGCGCAAGCCUGAUCCAGCCAUACCGCGUGGGUGAAGAAGGCCUUCGGGUUGUAAAGCCCUUUUGUUGGGAAAGAAAAGCAGCAGGUUAAUACCCCGCUGUUCUGACGGUACCCAAAGAAUAAGCACCGGCUAACUUCGUG